rnacentral:rRNA from 1 species
UACGGGGGGGGCAAGCGUUGUUCGGAAUUACUGGGCGUAAAGGGCUCGUAGGUGGCCAACUAAGUCAGACGUGAAAUCCCUCGGCUUAACCGGGGAACUGCGUCUGAUACUGGAUGGCUUGAGUUCGGGAGAGGGAUGCGAAAUUCCAGGUGUAGCGGUGAAAUGCGUAGAUAUCUGGAGGAACACCGGUGGCGAAGGCGGCAUCCUGGACCGACACUGACACUGAGGAGCGAAAGCCAGGGGAGCAAACGGG